rnacentral:rRNA from 1 species
AUAACCUGGAGGAAGUGGGUGAGCAAAUCAUCAUGCCCCUUAUGCUUAGGGCUACACACGUGCUACAAUGGGUAGUACAGAGGGUUGCCAAGCCGUAAGGUGGAGCUAAUCCCUUAAAGCUACUCUCAGUUCGGAUUGUAGGCUGAAACUCGCCUACAUGAAGCUGGAGUUACUAGUAAUCGCAGAUCAGAAUGCUGCGGUGAAUGCGUUCCCGGGUCUUGUACACACCGCCCGUCACACCACGGGAGUUGGAGACGCCCGAAGCCGAUUAUCUAACCUUUUGGAAGAAGUCGUCGAAGGUGGAAUCAAUAACUGGGGUGAAGUCGUAACAAGGUAGCCGUAUCGGAAGGUGCGGCUGGAUCACCUCCUUUCUAAGGAGA